rnacentral:rRNA from 1 species
AUCUCUGUAGAGUCUGCAUAUCAAUAAGCGGAGGAAAAGAAACUAACAAGGAUUCCCUUAGUAACGGCGAGUGAAGCGGGAAGAGCUCAAAUUUGAAAUCUUCAAGGUUCUACCUUGACGAAUUGUAGUUUAAAGAAGUGUUUUCUGUUAGAUGAGUAGCAAAAGUUCUCUGGAAUAGGGACAUCAUAGAGGGUGAGAAUCCCGUAUUUGGUCAUUCCUUCUAGCUUUGUGAUACACUUUCAAAGAGUCGGAUUGUUUGGGAAUGCAGUCCAAAAUGGGUGGUAAAUUUCAUCUAAAGCUAAAUAUUGGCGAGAGACCGAUAGCGAACAAGUACCGUGAGGGAAAGAUGAAAAGAACUUUGAAAAGAGAGUUAAACAGUACGUGAAAUUGUCAAAAGGGAAGCGUUUGACACCAGUGUUGUUUUUCCGAAAAUCAAUUAUAAAUGUUUUGUUUCUGAGGAGUGAUGACUUCAUCGGCUUCCUUCUCUCUUCACGAAACUUUUGUAAUGCACUUUUCGGUUAACAAGUCAACAUCAAUUUCUUUUGUUGUAAAAGAGUAUUCGGAAGGUGGCUUUCUUUUCGGAGAAAGUGUUUAUAGCCCUAUACUUCUACAAUCGGAGAGAUUGAGGUCUGCAGCGUAGAUCCUUCGGGGUUAGAUACAUUUGUGCUAAGUUAUAGCUUUUCAUAGACAACUUGUUGACUAUGUUUAGUCUUGUAGCUUACUCGCUUAUGCUAUUUUACCUACGCUUAGGAUGUUGAGCGCAUGUCUCUCUCU